UACGUAGGGUGCAAGCGUUGUCCGGAAUUAUUGGGCGUAAAGAGCUCGUAGGCGGUUUGUCGCGUCUGCUGUGAAAACUCGGGGCUUAACCCCGGGCCUGCAGUGGGUACGGGCAGACUAGAGUGCGGUAGGGGAGACUGGAAUUCCUGGUGUAGCGGUGAAAUGCGCAGAUAUCAGGAGGAACACCGAUGGCGAAGGCAGGUCUCUGGGCCGAUACUGACGCUGAGGCGCGAAAGCGUGGGGAGCAAACAGG
rnacentral:rRNA from 1 species